ensembl:lncRNA
GGUGGUUCGUUUACCUAAGUGUUACAACAGACACGCAGACAGGACUCAGAGGAGGGCACGUGUGGGCUGGGCUUCAAAGACUAUGUAGGAAUCCACCAUGAGAUGUGGGAGGGUAUUCCAGGCAUGGACACAGUGCUGCACCUGGAACGCGGGAUGGCUGCUGUGGCCAUGAGAGGACGGAUGACAGGAGGAGAAGGGAAGGAGGCUGCCAGGGGAGAGGCCAGCUGUGGAAAGGAAUUCUGACUGUUUCCUUAGGGGAUGGAAGCCAUUAUGUUUAAGCAAUCGGGUGAUAUAAUCAGAGGUGAGAGGAAGAAAGAACCAAAAAGGCAGCAUGCAGACUUGGCCAGUAGGGGAUAACAGAGCACGCAAGGCUGACAGAUUGCUAGGAGGCCAGCGUGAGUCUUGUGAACCAUGAUUGUCUGCCGUGCAGCCCAUUGGAUCAGUCAGUGUUCUAUUGGGAAGCUGCUGAUCAGUGGUUACUUACUGGUUGGUUAGGUAGAAAUAAUUUUUCCACAUUUCUCUCGUAAUUACAGACUCUUUGGCCAAUAUAAGAUUUUUUUUUAGCCACACAAGGAAAUAAAUCACUAUAUUUAUGUAAUAAUAACGAAAAUGUAGAGGACACUGGGAUGCAUGACCCAGACCUCACCUCUGUACUGAAGGAAUUAUUCCUCCAGCUGCUGGGAGGGCUGCCAGCAGACAGCCCUCAAUUCUUAGUCCCCUUUGAGGAUUGCAUCAGCUGAAGAAAGCUGCCUCUCCUCAGAUCACAGUGGCUUCUUGGGGCAUCCCACAUCCAAUGACCAACUUCUGUGAGGGUAUAAAUGCCUGGCCUCCUUUUCCCAAUUUGUGGUAACUCUGAGAGGCCCUCCCCAUUUUAAAGCUCCUGUAAUGUUGCUGAGACCUCUGCUGAGGCUGCGCUGUGGCCCACUUCUUCCUCUGCCUGGCCCCACUGCCUUCCCUUCCCUUCCACGUGUGUUCAUCCUGAGAGCACUCCCGGAUGUGGUUUCUGCAAGCACAUCCCCACCUCAGCUGCUGCUGGGGGCCUGUCUGGGGCAAAUGAUAAUUGUAGCUAACGUUUACUCGUGCCUGACAGCGAGAGGGAAUUUAUAUACUCAGACUCUUUUCAUUCUUAUGAUAAUCGUGGGUAGUGGUAGCCCAUAAUAAUAUUACCACACCAUUGCAUGGGUGCCAAACAACUUUCCUGUCUAUGUCCUAGGUAAACUUAAUCCUUCCUAGGAGAGGGCAGGACAUGGAUUCCCAACCCCUUUAGACAUAUUAGGAACUGAGGCGUACAGAGAAAUAAUCUUUCCAAGAUCAGAAAUCCGCAAAUGUUGCAGAGUUGUCUAACUUUCUGCUCAUUUCCACUGCAUGUUGAUAUUCCCAUUUCUGAUCAUGCUUUUUAAUAUACUAAUAUUCCAGGCAGUCUGAGCCCAGGAUUUCUAUCCCUGGUCUGAAAGCUGGGCAUUUAUCAGCCAGUGCCCACCUUUUAAACUCUCCACUCAAAACGUGUGGCCUAAGACAAAAGGGACAGGAUGGCUCUUCCAUGGUACCAGGGUCCAGGAGACCCUGAGCAUCUAACCCAGGGAUUUGAAACUGUUUCCUACAGAGCUGCCUCAGGGGCACUCGAGAGAAAAGGACAGGGAAAAACGAAGAGAAAAAGGGAAAAAAGAGGAUGGGGAAACAGGGCCUGAGAGGGAAAGAAGAAGAGAGGCUAAGGAGGAGGCAGGAGGAGGGAGAGAAAGGAAGGGAUGGAGGGUGAGCAGGGCGGGAGGGGGUAGAGAGAGAGGGGUUUAGGGGGGAGGGGAGAGAAAGUGAGUGUGGGGGAGGGGAGGAAAGAACAAGAGGCUGCCGGGCUGCUCUAUGAAAUAAGAAAUAAACAACAGCCACUUUCCUGCCCAUGAGGCAGCCAUGUUAUUUGGGGCGUUGAAUUCCUCAGGACAGGGUUCUUUAUCAUCUGGAAUAACAGACCCGCCGGUGGACGGAGCAGGCAGGCGCGGGCCGGGGGUGCAACUCCUCGCUCCCCUGGCGAUGGGCAGCCUGCUGUCUGUGUCAGCACAGGGAAGCCCGCCCGGGAAGGCAUCCUCCAGGGGGCACUGGGGCCAAGAGGGCUCUCAGCUGGUGCUGAGUGAGCUGUUCAAAGUAAACAAAGGCUCCGGGCCAGUGGGACCCUCCUGUUGGUGGUAACGCAGACAGGACGAGAGCCCUGCAAGGAGCUUGGUGUUUUCAGCUCUCCAGUUGCUUUGAAAGAAAGAAAGAAGGAAAGAAGCAGAGCCACAGCGUGCAAUUUAUUAUUCUUUAGGACGUAAUAGCUAACAGCUCCAAAAACAUUCUGGACGUGCUGCACAGCUCAUCAAGGAGAACGUCAGCCCCGAAUGCGGGGAGGAUAAACACCUCAGGUAUCAGGGUGCUGGCUGGUGUGGGGCCAUGCUAGGGGACCAGCUCUGUGCCUGCCUCUCCUGGGGCCGGGGACAGCACUCACCCACCAGCUCCUCAGUGCCUCAACAUCCUCUUUGCUCCUGUAAUAGGAAGCAUUCUAGUCGGAUCAGACUCAAGCUGAAGUCCUAAUGUCCUAGGUGAAUUCAAGAGUCUCUUCGAGAUUUAGCAUUAAACAAGCCUUCAAAAACACACAUGAGGAGAGGUCCUGAGAGGCCAGGUGGGUCCCAGGGCUGGGCACAAGAUAAACCAAUAUUUGUUGAGUGAAUGGGUGAAGAGAAGGCAGCUUAGGAGGGGGCUACGGCCCACCUUCACCCUCAAGGGGAGGGGAAACUGUUCCUUCUCCCAUUACCCGCAGCUCUGGGCCCUCUAAGUCUCCCCGGGGGUCAGGAAACUUUCAUUUGUGGUGGUGAACGCAGCAGGCAGCCUUGGGGCCAGGAGCAGGCAGACAGGCAGCGGGGAGACUGCCAGGGGCUUGGGGCACGCGGUCCACUGCAGGGAGCGCCAGAAUGUACACUCGAGGCAGCCUCAGCCUGGGCUAGGAUCCCAUGUGGAAGACCCAGGUUUGCCAGCUGCCUGCUGUGGAGACCCUGAGCAGAUCUCUGCCCCCGAGAAGCACAGCCUGUCCUGGUGUUGACUCUGCCUGUGUCCCCUUGGCUUUCCGUGCUCUGCCACAGCGCCACGGGCCGGCCUUGGUGCAGCCUCUCUUCAUCUCUCUCCAGGACGGUCCUUCCAGCCUCCUCACUGUUCUCGUUGCCUUCAGCCUUGCCCUGCUCCGCUCCACCCUCGGUGCUGCCUCCUCUAAAGUGCUCUUCUAGCGUGCUGAUCAGAUGGGGCCUCUCUCUGGCACAUAACCCUCAUGUCUGUAGUCCCGCUGCCUCAGGUGGAAGUCCAAGCGUUCAAGACCUCGUGGGCACCGGUCCUUGCUCACAGUUCCAGUUUCAGCACCUGAGUCUGCUUGUCUGCAUGCACCUUAGGUUCGAGCUGCUUUAUUCCCAGAAGGCACCACUUUCUCAGAUGCAUGUACCUUUGCAUGUGCUGUUCCUUCCGCACGUGCUCUUCCAAAACUUGUCUCAAGCCUCUGCUCUGUCUGGAGGACAGAGCUCGGGGAAGGCCUCAUGGACAAGCAAAUCCCUUCCUUUUAUACACAGUCCCACUGCAGCCUCCACUGCCUGCAACACUCUCUGUGGGGAGACACGUGAAAACAGACUCCACGAGAGCCA